rnacentral:hammerhead_ribozyme from 1 species
AGCCGAAACGGGCAGCAGUCGCCCGUCUGUGUGGGAUGACCGCCCACGCAUUGACGAGGCAGGUCAGA